ACAGACAAACUCUGAGAAACAUGACUGAAUUAGCAAGGCAAUCUGGGCUUUUCCUUGCUCAAGCAACUCUUCUACAAUUUGGAUAAGGACGCCAGCAGGGAGCUAGGCCUUUCUGGGCAAACCAUUCUGCUCCCUGCUGCCUCCAGACACCGUGGAGCCACUCAAGGGAGCUGCUACCAACCAGAGAAAGCCUUUUGACACCCAUCACUGAAGUCUUGAUAUAACAGUUCAACUGCCGCAAGGGCUCAGCCUAGCAACUACUGCUGCUCCACCAAGUAGCUUGCAUAUCCUUUCCUCCCCCACGGACUUCAUCCUCACAACAGCCCUGAGAGGAGCCCCCAGCUAGUGAAGGCCCAGCCUAAGGUGUCAUGCAUUUCUGCGAUCCAAUGCAGAGGAGAGGCUGCAGCCGUCGGAAGUGGAGGAGUAGAUCGUAAGGAGAUGGCCGCCGAUUGCCUGCGAGGCCUGACCUUGAAAAGACCAUUGAGAAGCGAUGACCAUUCGUCCCAGGAGGCAAGCAAGUGCGCCGUUGAUGUUGACCAGGAAGGUGGAGGAAGGGCCCAUCAGCUGCAACAGCCCCUCCGGAUGUGCCUGGCCUUCAGCAAGAAACAGCUGAGCAAGUUGGAGAGAAGCUUCAGAGGGCAAAACUAUCUGGAAUGGCAGAAAAGGGGUCGUUUGGCCACUGCUCUGCACCUCACAGAAGAGCAGGUUAAAACCUGGUUUCAGAAUCGCAGGAUGAAACUUAAGCGACAGUUGCAGGGCCAUCACCAAGGCCUCUGACCUUCAUCUCUCUCUUCUCUAUUAUACCAGACCAAGAUCCCAUCCAGCCUGCUUGAUGAGUUUGCCAUGCGUUCUCCUUUUCUACAUCUGCAAAUUGCUCUUCCUCUUAUGCCAAAUUUUGCCCUGCCAUACUAUCUUCCUGGUUCCAUGUAUCAACUCCUCCAAAAUCCAUGUUCUCCACUCCUAACACCUAGUUUGCCUUACCACUUUCUACCUCAAUUAUCAGGAUAUUCAACUGAAGACUGUAAUGUUAGACUCUUGGCAACCUUCUCAAAUUCCUAAAUUAGGAGAUGGGGAAGAGCAAUAGGAUCUUGUUUAAAAAUACUUUGAUUUUAUUGCAGAGCAUAUAGUAGUCAAUGUAGAAUAAUAUCUAAAAUGUGCUGGUUGAAUAAAUGG